rnacentral:rRNA from 1 species
UGAGUAACACGUAUCCAACCUGCCGUCUACUCUUGGACAGCCUUCUGAAAGGAAGAUUAAUACAAGAUGGCAUCAUGUGUCCGCAUGUUCACAUGAUUAAAGGUAUUCCGGUAGACGAUGGGGAUGCGUUCCAUUAGAUAGUAGGCGGGGUAACGGCCCACCUAGUCUUCGAUGGAUAGGGGUUCUGAGAGGAAGGUCCCCCACAUUGGAACUGAGACACGGUCCAA